rnacentral:rRNA from 1 species
UACAAGAUUUAAAUGGCUGCGGUAUAUUGACCGUACAAAGGUAGCAUAAUAAUUAGUUUUUUAAUUGAAAGCUUGUAUGAAAGAUUGGACGAGAAAAUAACUGUCUCUAUUUAAUUUUAUUAGAAGUUUAUUUUUAAGUAAAAAAGCUUAAAUAAUAUUUAAAGACGAGAAGACCCUAUAGAGUUUUAUAUUUCUUAAAAAGUUAAUUUUUUUAGCUAUUGAUUGUUUAAUUUUUUUAGGGAUAAUUUAUUGGGGUGAUGAUAAAAAUUGAUAAACUUUUAUUUAAUAAGACCAUUAAUAUAUGAUUUAUUGAUCCAUUUAUAAUGAUUAUAAGAUAAAAUUACCUUAGGGAUAACAGCGUAAUUUUUUUUGAGAGUUCUAAUCGAAAAAAAAGUUUGCGACCUCGAUGUUGGAUUAAAAUUAAUUUCUGGGGUAGCAUCUAGGAAAUUAGGUCUGUUCGACCUUUAAAAUUUUACAUGAUCUGAGUUUAGACCGGCGUGAGCCAGGUUGGUUUCUAUCUUGAAUAAAAAUUAAAUUUUUAGUACGAAAGGACCAAAAUUUAAUAAAAUUUAUUUAAAAAGAUUAA